CCGUGAGUCUCAGACACUCGAGGUGGCCAGGGCACCCCUGCUGGGGUCCCGCAGGCCCUGCCUGGCUCUCCUCCCUCUCCUCUCAGCACCAGGGGACUCCCCUCGCUGCAGAAGGCGCACAAGGGCUGUGGAGGGAAGAGAAAGUGCCACUCUCUAAGACAAAUCCCCCUCCUGGAGGAAGCUAGAGGACAAAUGUCCUUCCAAAGCUGGAUGAGUGAGCAUGGCCCAAGCCAGAGGAGAGAAUCCAGAGAGAGUGGAGAUCUCGACAAAAGAGACACACAGCAAGCAGCAUAAAAUCCACCGCAGAGCUGCUCAGCGUGACAGCCGGCUGCAGCCAGAGCCCUCAGAUGGGAGUGAUGAAGGAGCAGCCAGCUCCCUGUGGAGAGAGGCUUCCAGAAGGAUUGCUCUGCUUUGCUGGUUGGACAUCAGCCCGCCUUGAGGUCUCUGGGCAUGUGGGUGGCCCAGAACCAAGUGGCCAGCGAUCACUCAUUGACAUCCCAGGGUCACCCAAGGUGGGCCCUGGAGUCUGGCAUCAGUCACUCCUCCAGCAGGGAUUGUGACCUCAGGACCCUGCUGCUGAGGGUAACUCAAUCACUGCCGGGAGCACCGGCCCCCUCGCGGCUGUCCAUCUAAGUGAAACUCUGGGUUUUCAUAACACGGGCCGUUCCAGGAUGCCUCUCUUCCCAGCUUUAUCACCUCUGCCAUCCAGUCGCUUUUGAAAGAAAAAAAAAAUAAGCCAAAGGGGAUCAGAGCUUGGCCAGAAUUCCCGGGCAUGGAAACGCCAUUUGCCAACUGCAGCCAUGGAGAAGCACCUGGCGCCACCUGGUCCGUCUGAUUUUCGCCACGGGGAGUCCCCAUGCACCCUUCAGAUAUAACAGCUUAGAAAUGAACUUCCUACAAUUGAAUAAAUCAACUUUCCUCAUAGA